CCGAAAGUAAUGAGCUACUUUUAGUUCAAUGAAGAAUUAAAAAAAGAAAUGUUGCAAAAUUUCUCAAUAGAAACAAAAGUAGAGAUUAAAUGUCUACGCAUUUACAGAUACCUGGUUAUCUUUUAAGGUAAUAUUACCAAUUUUAUUUAAAUUAAUUAAUUUUGGGAUAAGCUAAAAUUAAAACAAGAUUUAUUAUUUUUCUAAAUCCAUUUAAAAAUUAUUUUUAUUAUUUUAGGCCUAGUAAUAGCUUCAAAAAAGAUUGUAAUAAGAAAAAAUUCUAAAAUAAAAAAAUUUUAAAAAAAUAUUAAUCUUACAUAAAAGAUAAUAGUAAUUAACAUUAUAACAACUUGUUUACUAAUUAAAAUGGUUACAUUAGUAUGAAAAUUUAUAUUUCAAAAUAUAAAUUUUAAAUUAAAAAUUAGAAAGGAACUCGGCAAAAAUUAAGGCAACGACUGUUUAACAAAGACAUAGCUUCUAGAAAUUAUUAGAAGUCACUCCUGCCCAGUGUGAAUAAUCAACGGCCGCGAAAGUGCUAAGGUAGCAAAAUAAUUUGUCUUUUUAUUGAAGACCAGUAUGAAGGGAGCAACGAAGCCUAACUGUCUCCUUAAUUUAAUCAAAAAUUAAUUAAAGAGUGAAAAAUCUCUUUAUAUUAUGAGGGACGAGAAGACCCUACAGAGUUUUAGUAAAAUCUAAUUACUAUAUUAUAGAUAAUACUUUUAU
rnacentral:rRNA from 1 species